UAUAAAGAAGUGUAAUGUGAGCAUAGGAAAAUUUGAGUUUCCAGGAGGAUAAAUUGUCUCUUUAUAA
rnacentral:tRNA from 1 species